rnacentral:rRNA from 1 species
UUAGAGUUUGAUCAUGGCUCAGAUUGAACGCUGGCGGCAUGCUUUAUAUAUGCAAGUCGAGCGGCAGCGCGGGGCAACCUGGCGGCGAGCGGCGAACGGGUGAGUAAUGCAUCGGAACGUGUCCCGGAGUGGGGGAUAACGCCGCGAAAGCGGCGCUAAUACCGCAUAUGCUCUGAGGGGGAAAGUGGGGGACCUGCAAGGGCCUCAUGCUCUGGGAGCGGCCGAUGUCCGAUUAGCUUGUUGGUGAGGUAAUGGCUUACCAAGGCGACGAUCGGUAGCUGGUCUGAGAGGAUGAUCAGCCACACUGGGACUGAGACACGAGCUAGACUCCUACGGGAGGCAGCAGUGGGGAAUUUUGGACAAUGGGGGCAACCCUGAUCCAGCCAUGCCGCGUGCGGGAAGAAGGCCUUCGGGUUGUAAACCGCUUUUGGCCGGGAAGAAAAGGACGCGGUUAAUACCUGCGUUUUUUGACGGUACCGGCAGAAUCAGCACCGGCUAACUACGUGCCAGCAGCCGCGGUAAUACGUAGGGUGCGAGCGUUAAUCGGAAUUACUGGGCGUAAAGCGUGCGUAGGCGGUUCGUUGUGUCUGUGGUGAAAGCCCCGGGCUUAACCUGGGAAUGGCCAUGGAAACUGGCGAGCUGGAGUGUGGCAGAGGGGGGUGGAAUUCCGCGUGUAGCAGUGAAAUGCGUAGAGAUGCGGAGGAACACCGAUGGCGAAGGCAGCCCCCUGGGCUAACACUGACGCUGAGGCACGAAAGCGUGGGGGAGCAAACAGGAUUAGAUACCCUGGUAGUCCACGCCCUAAACGAUGUCAACUGGGUGUUCGGGAAGCGAUUCCUGGGUACCGUAGCUUAC